AUGGAACGCUGGCGGCAGGCCUAACACAUGCAAGUCGAGCGGUUGAGGGGAGCUUGCUCCCUGAUUCCGCGGCGGACGGGUGAGUAAUGCCUAGGAAUCUGCCCAUUAGUGGGGGACAACGUUUCGAAAGGAACGCUAAUACCGCACACGUCCUACGGGAGAAAGGAGGGGACCUUCGGGCCGUGCGCUAAUAGAUGAUCCUAGGUCGGAUUAGGGUGUUGGUGACGUAAUGGCUUACCAAGGCGACGAUCCGUAACUGGUCUGAGAGGAUGAUCAGUCACACUGGAACUGAGACACGGUCCAGACUCCUACGGGAGGCAUCAGUGGGGAAUAUUGGACAAUGGGCGAAAGCCUGAUCCAGCCAUGCCGCGUGUGUGAAGAAGGUCUUCGGAUUGUAAAGCACUUUAAGUUGGGAGGAAGGGUUGUAGAUUAAUACUCUGCAAUUUUGACGUUACCGACAGAAUAAGCACCGGCUAACUCUGUGCCAGCCGCCGCGGUAAAAC
rnacentral:rRNA from 1 species